AACGAACGCUGGCGGCAGGCUUAACACAUGCAAGUCGAACGGGCGUAGCAAUACGUCAGUGGCAGACGGGUGAGUAACACGUGGGAACCUUCCUAGGGGGUACGGAACAACUCAGGGAAACUUGAGCUAAUACCGUAUACGUCCGUGAGGAGAAAGAUUUAUCGCCCUUAGACGGGCCCGCGUCGGAUUAGCUAGUUGGUGGGUAACGGCCUACCAAGGCGACGAUCCGUAGCUGAUCUGAGAGGAUGAUCAGCCACACUGGGACUGAGACACGGCCCAGACUCCUACGGGAGGCAGCAGUGGGGAAUCUUGGACAAUGGGCGCAAGCCUGAUCCAGCCAUGCCGCGUGAGUGAAGAAGGCCUUCGGGUUGUUAAAGGCUCUUUGUCUAGGGACGAUAAUGACGGUACCUGAAGAAUAAGCCCGCGAAACUUCGUGCCAGCAGCCGCGGUAAU
rnacentral:rRNA from 1 species